GCGGGCAAGCAGAAGGUUUGCCGCCAGCCUUCCAAGCUGAGCAGAGAAGGGUUCGAUUCCCUCUGUCCGCUCCA
rnacentral:tRNA from 1 species